rnacentral:lncRNA from 1 species
UCAAAGCAGACGAGAGCUCAUCGAAAGUCAGCAUUCUACUGCUUUCUUCGUCCCUAACCUCCUUCCCUCUUUCCCCCACUUACGCAUCAACUCCAAGUGCAUAAACACAAAUACUCCUUCCUACACGUACAUCCAAAAUUUUUUAUUCUUUAUUGUUCAUAUCGUUAUCGUCUGAAAUCAACUUGAAUUCACUGGUUUCAGCUUGAUAUUCGCACCGUUUGACGCAGAUUGAUGCAUAUGAAUCAUCGCUUGUAUGUAAAAUUCUACUUCAUUCGGAGAAACUAAGGUUAAAAUUUCAAGGAUCAGACAAGUUUUUGUGUGUGUUUAUUUUGCUUCACUUCUGGCCUAUCUCUUUGUA